rnacentral:rRNA from 1 species
GACGAACGCUGGCGGCGUGCUUAACACAUGCAAGUCGAACGAUGACGACCGAACUUGCUCGGUCUGAUGAUUGGCGAACGGGUGAGUAACACGUGAGCAAACUGCCCUUCACUCUGGGAUAACCUCGGGAAAUCGGGGCGAAUAUCGGGGAUAAUCUCCUGUCGCGUAGCGGGCGUUGGAAAGAUUCUCGGUUAAGGAUGGGCUCGGGGCCUAUCGCUUUGUUUGUGAGGGAGGGGCUGACCAAGGCGUUGACGGGUAGCCGGCCUGAGAGGGCGACCGGCCACACUGCGACUGAGAGACGGACCAGAAGCCUACGGGAGGCAGCAGUGGGGAAUAUUGCACAAUGGGCGCACGCCUGAUGCAGCGACGCCGCGUGAGGGAUGACGGCCUUCGGGUUGUAAACCUCUUUCAGCGGGGAAGAAGCGAAAGUGACGGUACCUGCAGAAGAAGCGCCGGCUAACUACGUG